rnacentral:rRNA from 1 species
UACGUAGGGUGCAAGCGUUGCCCGGAUUUAUUGGGCGUAAAGAGCUCGUAGGCGGUUUGUCGCGUCUGCUGUGAAAAUCCAGGGCUUAACCCUGGACCUGCAGUGGGUACGGGCAGACUGGAGUGCGGUAGGGGAGAUCGGAAUUCCUGGUGUAGCGGUGAAAUGCGCAGAUAUCAGGAGGAACACCGGUGGCGAAGGCGGAUCUCUGGGCCGUAACUGACGCUGAGGAGCGAAAGCAUGGGGAGCGAACAGG